ensembl:lncRNA
CCCAGGUCAUAGGCACGGACUACGCUGGAAACUUGCAAAAAAAGUGGAUGCCAGCGUGGGCACUGAGUUGGUUGGUGGAUUGUGUUAGUUUGUUUUGCCUGUCAGGCAGGCUUUGCAAGCACCUUGCAACAGCGGAGUACAUCUCUUGCCACGUUCCUGAGGCAUGCCAGAUGUCAUCAGUUCCAGUUUCUGAAAUGCUGGAGAUGCUCAGAGCGCAAGAGGAGCUGGAGCGUGAUGCAUCUCUUUGGGAUGUUAGCUACGUGACCUUGGCUUGGCACGGCGAAUGGAAGCACUAAGCCUGGAUCGGAAGGUAAAGUGGAGCCUCGCGCAUGAAGCAAUGUCCUGGCUAGCUUUUGUGCUCCUUGUUGAGGAUGGAACCUGCCUCCCAUCAUUCCCAAGCUAAGUUGGGGGGCAAGUGCUAUGUUUGGUUUGGUGUUGUGAAUGGACCCAUAGGGUGAGGGUCUGUGCUUUUAAGUCAUUGCAGCGGAUGGGGCCUUUCAGGAUUGAGCACGGUCAGACGGAGAGGGGGGUGGGGGUUCUGUCAGGUAGGGCUUGAGCAUGUGCCAGGCAGGGCAGUUCCAGCUUGGUGCCUGUGUUCUGUGUUGUCUGUGCUGUGGCUCUUGGUGCUCAGUAGGCCCUGGGGAAGCCAUCCUGAGGGUAUUGAACACUUGACCUCAUUGGAAUAAUGCUGAUGCUCAAUUGGAAGCUGAGCAACUCUUGUCUUGCAGUGGGAGCUUAAAGAGCUCACUACUUCUGUGUGUGUAAUUUUUAUUUUGUAUCAAAUGUUUCCUGAUACGAUCAUCAUAUGUUACGCACCCCUCAGGUCUUGAUAUCCUCAUUGCCUUCUUCCACUGGACAGAUUAGAUGGGCAACUUGGUAGCCACACCAAAGGUCCUAAAUGCUUGUUUCAUCAUGGUAGGGCUGAUCUGAGCACUUUUUGACUUGCAGUCGCAGCUUAAAGUGCAGAUGUGUUUCAGGUGUUGCGCAUCAUAUUUGGUUUCAGAUUGCAUCUGUUUCCAUUGUUGCUGUUGUGGAAGUCAUGUGGGCUUCAUCCGGAGCUCUGGCUUUGGAAUUCAUUUCCAAAGCUUUUUUUCUUAAGGGGUUUACACUCCCCAUCCUUCCGGUCUCUGUCUUAAAGGCAGGCUUUUUAUGCCUCCAUCAUCCCAGUUCUGGCAGUUGCUUCCAGUUGCAGGUCAUGACAUUGGAGUCUCUCCUUGUGUCUGCUGCAGAGCACCUGUUCUGACUUGCUGUUGCCAUAGGGCUUCCCUCUGGGAGUCUUUUUUUUUUGUUGUUGUUCUGUGUUUUGUUUGUAGUGUGCCUGUGUGUGUGUGUGUUUGGCCUGGAGCUGUCCUGCCUGGCAGUUAGUGAUGGUAACUAACGUGGCGGUCCAUCGGUGUACUAAUACAUUGUCUGGACUGUUUUGGCAAAGACAUCCAGUCUGCCUCUGGGCACGUACUGAAGGGCAGCUGGCACAGUCAUCUCAGUGGUGUUUGCAGAUGUGGAAGGGGAGACUCGAGCUGCUUGCGAGCAGCUGUUCGCAUAGUGCUUGAACAGUGUGCUGGAAGAGGUCUGUUGAAUCUUGAAAGCUUGCAGAUAUGGGGUUUUGAAUUUCUUAUCUUUUUCUUUUCCCUCCCUAGUAGAGGGUAAACCUUAGGAGGAACCAGUCAAAGGAAAGAGCGCCUUCUGGAACUGUCAAGCACUUGGUAGGCAACCUGGUGACCCUAACCUGGGUUAGGGUUGUGGUUAGAGUUGUUUGGGUUAAGGGGAAUAAGGAUUUUAGGGUAAGGGGAUCAAGGUUGUGGGGAUAAAAAUGCUGUUUUUGCACAGAGUUCCAUCGUUUAGAGGGAAGGAAGGUGGUAUUGAGAGAUGCUUGCAGUGAUAAGAAAGCUGAACAGACAACCUUGUAAAAUACAGACAACCAGAAUCCUUAGAGCAAUUACAUGGAAAUCACAGUGUAAGAACCAUUACCACCUCAAAGAGGAAAAAAGUCAAGAAAAAAAGCAAGUUGACUUGUAACAGGCCAGCAGCUGUGUAUUUUCCAUGAAGCACUGGAUAGAUUGUGAACAUGGAUUACCCAGUCAAUGGGGAAACUGGGGAGGGUCCCGGUCAUCGAGAAGAGGAAAAAAAAAAAAAGGUAUAUAAAGUAUAUAAAUAGUUAGUGUUAUGGAGCUAGUAGGUGGCUUGUGGGAUGCCUGCCAUUGCAAUUGCGAAUAAAAAUGCUACCUCACUGAGAUCCUUGCCUGAG